rnacentral:rRNA from 1 species
UGGGGAAUAUUGGACAAUGGGCGAAAGCCUGAUCCAGCCAUGCCGCAUGAGUGAAGAAGGCCUUUGGGUUGUAAAGCUCUUUUAGUGAGGAAGAUAAUGACGGUACUCACAGAAGAAGUCCUGGCUAACUCCGUGCCAGCAGCCGCGGUAAUACGGAGAGGGCUAGCGUUAUUCGGAAUUAUUGGGCGUAAAGGGCGCGUAGGCUGGUUAGUAAGUUAAAAGUGAAAUCCCGAGGCUUAACCUUGGAACUGCUUUUAAAACUGCUAACCUAGAGAUUGAAAGAGGAUAGAGGAAUUCCUAGUGUAGAGGUGAAAUUCGUAAAUAUUAGGAGGAACACCAGUGGCGAAGGCGUCUAUCUGGUUCAAAUCUGACGCUGAGGCGCGAAGGCGUGGGGAGCAAACA